rnacentral:rRNA from 1 species
AUUGAACGCUGGCGGCAGGCUUAACACAUGCAAGUCGAGCGGGGAAAGGUAGCUUGCUACCUGACCUAGCGGCGGACGGGUGAGUAAUGCUUAGGAAUCUGCCUAUUAGUGGGGGACGACAUUCCGAAAGGAAUGCUAAUACCGCAUACGCACUAAGGGGGAAAGCAGGGGAUGCUGGGACCUUGCGCAAAUAGCUGAGACUAAGUCAGAUUAGCUAGUUGGUGGGGUAAAGGCCUACCAAGGCGAAGAUCUGUAGCGGGUCUGAGAGGAUGAUCCGCCACACUGGGACUGAGACACGGCCCAGACUCCUACGGGAGGCAGCAGUGGGGAAUAUUGGACAAUGGGCGAAAGCCUGAUCCGGCCAUGCCGCGUGUGUGAAGAAGGCCUUUUGGUUGUAAAGCACUUUAAGCGAGGAGGAGGCUACCAAGAUUAAUACUCUUGGAUAGUGGACGUUACUCGCAGAAUAAGCACCGGCUAACUCUGUGCCAGCAGCCGCCGUAA